rnacentral:tRNA from 1 species
CAGGGAGACAACAAAAUGUUUAAUAUUAUUAUUUUGUCACCUUAGGUCGAUCGGUAUCUCACAUUCUUAAUUUAUUAAGGAUUUCAUUUCCUAAGUUUUUCUAGGUCACACCCAUUAUUUUUCCUGGGCCAUUAGCUCAGGUGGUUAGAGCGCACCCCUGAUAAGGGUGAGGUCCCUGGUUCAAGUCCAGGAUGGCCCAUACUCUAUGUUGGGGGUAUAGCUCAGUUGGUAGAGCGCCUGCUUUGCAAGCAGGAUGUCAGCGGUUCGAGUCCGCUUACCUCCACUGAUUACCACCUCUUCCAUAAUCUGUAGAAGGGAAAAUUUUUGUGUUGUGAUCAUAAAUCUGAACGAAUCUAGCUUCCUAAUGAAACAUUAAGAUGCUGGACUCAUUGAAUUAAUUUCAUUGUUUUCAGAGAACCUUGACAACUGCAUAGAUUAUUUUUAAAGACAAUAAGCAUCUUUAUGAUGCAGAUUUAUUAUUUGUGCGAAUGCAUUAAUAACAAUUCUAUUAAGCUGAUGCUUCAAUUUUUGAAGUUAUU